UACGAAGGGGGCUAGCGUUGUUCGGAUUUACUGGGCGUAAAGCGCACGUAGGCGGAUCGUUAAGUCGGGGGUGAAAUCCUGGAGCUCAACUCCAGAACUGCCUUCGAUACUGGCGAUCUCGAGUCCGGAAGAGGUGAGUGGAACUCCUAGUGUAGAGGUGGAAUUCGUAGAUAUUCGGAAGAACACCAGUGGCGAAGGCGGCUCACUGGACUGGUAUUGACGCUGAGGUGCGAAAGCGUGGGGAGCAAACAGG
rnacentral:rRNA from 1 species